rnacentral:rRNA from 1 species
GUGGGGAAUUUUGGACAAUGGGGGAAACCCUGAUCCAGCGACGCCGCGUGAAGGAUGAAGGCCUUCGGGUUGUAAACUUCUUUUGGAGGGGACGAAUAAAUUGACGGUACCCUCAGAAAAAGCCACGGCUAACUACGUGCCAGCAGCCGCGGUAAUACGUAGGUGGCGAGCGUUACUCGGAAUUACUAGGCGUAUAGCGUAUGUAGGCGGUUGUAUAAGUCUAUGGUGAAAUUUCCUGGCUCAACUGGGAAGGGACAUAGAUACUGUAUGGCUUGAGUGUUGGAGGGGGAGACGGAAUUCCUGGUGUAGCGGUGAAAUGCGUAGAUAUCAGGAGGAACACCGAUGGCGAAAGCAGUCUCCUGGCCAAAUACUGACGCUGAGGUACGAAAGCUAGGGUAGCAAACAGGAUUAGAAACCCGGGUAGUCC